AUAAUUUAUUAAUUGCUAUGCAAAAGAAAAUCUAUGUGGUUGGCACCACUGUCCACAGUAGCAAAAUUCUGCUUCGUAAUUGCUUCUCGGCAGUCCGGUCUAGCGCGUUUUUAUAAACAAACUUCAGUUUUUAAAGUAUAUUUCACAUCUAUGAACCGCGAAACAUAAAGAAAAACGCAUCACAUCAUAACUACCCACAGGAGAAAUGGCGCCUGAAAACUUUUGCCCUUCUGGGGGAAAACUUUUCCAGCAGCGAAAAUCAUUACUUAUCAGAUGUACCAGCCCCGUUAGUGGUUUUAAGAACUCCUGCGACCGCGACACACCUCGUUGGCGUUCCAGAACUCCUGCAAAAUAUUCAUCUUCGGGCAGGACGAUUGGAGCAACUCGAUGCUCAUUUCAUUCCUCUUAUCGGAAACUUAUUAAAUGGCCCCAUUUCCGUUCCAGGAGGAGGAUAGUGUUAUCAGUGUAAAAUUCUAAAUUGUGAAUCACGAAGAGAUCAAUUAAAAUCAUUAUUUUAUAAAUCUUAAA